rnacentral:lncRNA from 1 species
GGACAGGAGGGGACACUGGAUCCCAAAAAGGGACAUGGGACCUCCCCCACAGGGAUGUGGGACCCCCCCAAAGGGACCAAAGGGACAGGAGGGGACAUGGGACCCCCAAAAGGACAUGGACCCCUCCCCAAAGGGACAUGGGACCCCCAAAUGGGCAUAGGACCCCCCCAAAGGGAUGUGGGACAUCCCAAAGGGACAGGAAAAGACAUGGGAACCCCAAAAGGGCAUGGGACCCCCCCAAAGGGAUAUGGGACCCCCCAACAGGGACCUAAGGGACAGGAGGGGACAUGGGACCCCCCCAAAAGGACAUGGACCCCUCCCCAAAGGGAUGUGGGACCCCCAAAUGGACAUAGGACCCCCUCAAAGGGAUAUGGGACAUCCCAAAGGGACAGGAAAAGACAUGGGACCCCCAAAAGAACAUGGGACCCCCCCAGAACGAUGGGGGACACCCCAAGGAGACCAAAGGGACAGGAAGGGACAUGGGACCCCCAAAAGGACAUGGACCCCUCCCCAAAGGGAUGUAGGACCCCCAAAUGGACAUAAGACCCCCCCGAAGGUAUGUGGGACAUCCCAAAAGGACAGGAGGGGACAUGGGACCCCCAAAGGGAUAUGGGACCCCCCAACAGGGCCCUAAGGGACAGGAGGGGACAUGGGACACCCAAAAGGACAUGGACCCCUCCCCAAAGGGACAUGGGACCCCCAAAAUGGGCAUAGGAUCCCCCCAAAGGGAUGUGGGACAUCCCAAAGGGACAGGAGGGGACAUGGGACCCCCAAAGGGNNNNNNNNNNNNNNGGGACCUAAGGGACAGGAGGGGACAUGGGACCCCCCCAAAAGGACAUGGACCCCCCCCAAAGGGAUGUGGGACCCCCAAAUGGACAUAGGAUCCCCCCAAAGGGAUGUGGGACAUCCUAAAGGGACAGGAGGGAACAUGGGACCCCAAAAAGGGACAUGGGACCCCCAAAGGGAUGUGGGACCCCCCCCAAAAGGAUAUGGGACACCCUAAAGGGACCAAAGGGACAGGAGGGGACACGGAACCCCUAAAAGGACCCCCCCCAAAAAGGAUCUAAGGAACAAAAGGAGACACUGAACCCCUGACAGGGAUGUAAGGAACAAGAAGGGAUCAGGACCCCCCCCCUCGAAAAAGACAAAAA